rnacentral:rRNA from 1 species
GGACUACCCGGGUUUCUAAUCCUGUUCGCUCCCCACGCUUUCGUGUCUCAGCGUCAGAAAUGGCCCAGCAAGCUGCCUUCGCCAUUGGUGUUCCUAGUAAUAUCUACGCAUUUCACUGCUACACUACUAAUUCCACUUGCCUCUGCCAUCCUCUAGAUGCCCAGUAUGCAAUACAGUCCAUAUGGUUGAGCCACAGGAUUUCGCAUUGCACUUAAGCUUCCACCUACACACGCUUUACGCCCAGUAAUUCCGGAUAACGCUUGGACCCUACGUAUUACCGCGGCUGCUGGCAC